rnacentral:rRNA from 1 species
AGGGCGCACGGCGGAUGCCUUGGCACAGGAAGCCGAUGAAGGACGCGGCAAGCUGCGAUAAUCCGCGGUUAGGGGCACACACCCUUCGACCCGCGGGUCUCCGAAUGGGCGAACCCGGCAGGCGCGGGCCUGCCAUCCCCCUCCCGAAUCCAUAGGGAGGGGGAGGACAACCCGGGGAACUGAAACAUCUAAGUACCCGGAGGAGAAGAAAUCAAUACCGAGAUCCCCCGAGUAGCGGCGAGCGAAAGGGGGCCUAGGACAAACCGGUGAGCGCACGCGGGCGGCAGCCUUCGCGCCACCGGGGUUGUAGGACCGGCCAUGGGGCCCCUGCCGGGGCCCCGCGCGGCCGGGCGUGGGGAGCGGAACGGCAUGGGAGGGCCGGCCGCAGAGGGUCAAAGCCCCGUACGCGAACCCACGUCCCGGAGCGGGCCGGCACCUGAGUAGGGCCGGGCACGUGAAACCCGGUCCGAACCCGGGGGGACCACCCUCCAAUCCUGAAUACUCUCCUGUGACCGAUAGCGCACGAGUACCGUGAGGGAAAGGUGAAAAGCACCCCGGGAGGGGAGUGAAACAGUACCUGAAACCGUGCGCCCGCGAGCAGUCGGAGCAGCCAUGCGCUGUGACGGCGUGCCUUUUGUAGAAUGAGCCAGCGAGUUGCUGGCCGGCGGCGAGGUUAACCGGAAGGGAGCCGUAGCGAAAGCGAGUCCGAACAGGGCGUCCAGUCGCCGGCCGCAGACGCGAAGCCGGGUGAGCUAUCCCUGGGCAGGCUGAAGCGGGGGUAAGACCCCGUGGAGGGCCGAACGGAAGUGGGUUGAAAACCGCUCCGAUGACCUGGGGAUAGGGGUGAAAGGCCUAUCAAACCCGGAGAUAUCUCGUUCUCCCCGAAAUAGCUUUAGGGCUAGCGUCGGGGGUUCACCGACGGAGGUAGAGCUACCGGAUGGACGAGGGGGCUUCGCCGCCUACCGACUCCAACCGAACUCCGAAUGCCGUCGGCCCACACCCCGGCAGUCAGAGCAUGUGGGCUAAGCUGUGUGCUCGAGAGGGAAACAGCCCAGACCGCCCGCUAAGGUCCCCAAAUCCACGCCGAGUGGCAAAGGAUGUGCGCUCGCGCAGACAACCAGGAGGUUGGCUUAGAAGCAGCCACCCCUUCAAAGAGUGCGUAACAGCUCACUGGUCGAGUGGGCGCGCGCCGACAAUACACGGGGCUAAGCGUGGUACCGAAGCGGCGGGAUGACAUUUAUAUAUCAUCGGUAGGGGGGCGUCGCGCGCGGGGAGAAGCCGGAGGGCCACCGACGGUGGACCGCGCGCGAGCGAGAAUGCUGGCAUGAGUAGCGAGAGACGAGAGAGUAACUCGUCCGCCGUGAACCCGAGGUUUCCUGGGCCAGGCUAAUCCUCCCAGGGUCAGUCGGGGGCUAAGCCGAGGCCGGAAGGCGUAGGCGACGCGCAGCAGGUCGAUAUUCCUGCACCGCGAUGGCGGCGCUAUGACCGACGGGGCGACGGAUUGGGGUGGCUCGGCGGGGUUCUGGACGUCCCCGUGAUGGAGCGCGGCCCGCGGACCAGGGAAAUCCGGUCCGCACGAGGGCGAGGCUCCGGACGAAGCGACUGAGCGAAGCGAGUGAGCCCGAGGUCCCUAGAAAAACCCCUAGGCAGGCGCGUGCGCGCCCGUACCGCAAACCGACACAGGUGGGUGGGUAGAACAUACCGAGGCGAUCGGGUCAACCAUGGUCAAGGAACUCGGCACAAUGGCCCCGUAACUUCGGGAGAAGGGGUGCCCGCGCGUACGUGGAGGGACUAGCUCCCCGAGCGGAGGCGGGCCGCAGUGAAGAGGCCCAAGCGACUGUUUACCAAAAACACAGGACUCUGCAGAAGCCGAAAGGCGACGUAUAGGGUCUGACGCCUGCCCGGUGCCGGAAGGUCACGGGGAGGGGUUAGCCGCGAGGCGAGGCCCCGAACCCAAGCCCCGGUAAACGGCGGCCGUAACUAUAACGGUCCUAAGGUAGCGAAAUUCCUUGUCGGGUAAGUUCCGACCUGCACGAAAGGCGCAACGACUUGGGCGCUGUCUCGACCAUGGACCCGGUGAAAUUGCACUGGUCGUGAAGAUGCGACUUACCCGCGGAAGGACGGAAAGACCCCGUGAACCUUCACUGCAGCUUGGCAUUGGCCGCCAGCGCGGCGCGUAGAGGAUAGGCGGGAGACGCCGAACCCGGGACGCCAGUCCCGGGGGAGUCGCCCUUGGAAUACCGCCCCCGCCGCGCCGGCGUCCUAACCCGCAGCCGCGAUCCGGUGCGGGGACCGUGCCAGGUGGGUAGUUUGACUGGGGCGGUCGCCUCCUAAAGAGUAACGGAGGCGCGCGAAGGUCCGCUCGGGACGGUCGGCAACCGUCCUUUUG